GACUAACUACGNGCCAGCAGUCGCGGUAAUACGUAGNAGGCUAGUGUUAUUCAUCUUUAAUAGGUUUAAAGGGUACCUAGACGGCAGAUAAAGCCAUAAUUGGAACUUGUUUGCUAGAGUUACUUGUGAAGAGGCUUUAAUGUACUGCAGGUGAAGAGAUGAAAUUCUAUUAUACUUUUUUCUUAUAGAAAUAUAUGGCACAGGCAGGGGUGAAGACAUCUUCUUAUGAGAUAACUGACGUUGAGGGACGAAGGCUUUUUAUAGCGAACAGGAUUAGAUACCCUGGUAGUCAAAGCAGAAAACUAUGAGUGCCAUGUAAUAGAAAAAAUUUUAUUAUAUAAGUGAAAGUGUAAGCAUUCCACCUCAAGAGUAAUUUGGCAACAUUGGAACUGAAAUCAUUAGACCGUAUUUGAGACCAGUAAUGAAGUAUGUUAUUUAAUUUGAUGAUACGCAAAGAACCUUACCACAACUUGAAUAUUUAUAUUUUAUGAUUAAAAUUAAAUACAAGUGUUGCACGGCUGUCUUCAGUUAAUGUCGUGAGAAUUGGUUAGCUCCAGUAAAUUAACGUA
rnacentral:rRNA from 1 species